rnacentral:misc_RNA from 1 species
GAUGAAGAACGUAGCGAAAUGCGAUAAGUAAUGUGAAUUGCAGAAUUCAGUGAAUCAUCGAAUCUUUGAACGCACAUUGCGCCCGCCAGUAUUCUGGCGGGCAUGCCUGUUCGAGCGUCAUUUCAACCAUCAAGCCCCCGGCUUGUGUUGGGGACCUGCGGCUGCCGCAGGCCCUGAAAAGCAGUGGCGGGCUCGCGGUCACACCGAGCGUAGUAGCAUACAUCUCGCUCUGGGCGUGCUGCGGGUUCCGGCCGUUAAACCACCUUCAUAACCCAAGGUUGACCUCGGAUCAGGUAGGAAGACCCGCUGAACUUAAGCAUAUCAAUAAGCGGAGGA